rnacentral:rRNA from 1 species
UACGAAGGGGGCUAGCGUUGUUCGGAAUCACUGGGCGUAAAGCGCACGUAGGCGGAUGUGCCAGUCAGGGGUGAAAUCCCGGAGCUCAACUCCGGAACUGCCUCUGAUACAGCACGUCUUGAGUUCGAGAGAGGUGGGUGGAAUUCCUAGUGUAGAGGUGAAAUUCGUAGAUAUUAGGAAGAACACCGGUGGCGAAGGCGGCCCACUGGCUCGAUACUGACGCUGUGGUGCGAAAGCGUGGGGAGCAAACAGG